AAUGGGUUCAUCAGAAGACUCUUCAAGUUCUUCAGGAAAUAGCAUUCUAGCCUUGUGGAAGUGACAGAUACUUCAUCACACUAUAUAGUAAAAGCCCAAUUUUGCCCAUAACAUGCUGUUGGAGGAAGGUUAAGCCUAGAGUAUAAUUCUGCCUUGUUGUAAAAUGUCUUUAAGUUAUGAACCUCCAAGAAACUAGUAAUUGUUGUAUCUGUAUACCUGCAAUUGAAAAAAAAAAAAAAAAAAAAAACCUACACUUUCACAAUGGAACAAUCACUGCAGUUCAAACCAUGCUUAAGUUAGUGAUUCUUGAUGGGAAAACUUGGUGGCCUCUCAUGCCUUGGAAAAUUACCAGUGGAAAGUGCAGCCUGCUUUUGCAAUUUUCUUAUGCGACAAAUGUGGUGUCUCAAAUUGGUGGCAGCAAACAAACAAAGCUCAGACAAUAACAAGCUUAAAGAUUUACGGUUUAGUAAGUAUCAAAUUCUUGAACAUACUAUGUGAAUUCUGCAUUUGCUUA
rnacentral:misc_RNA from 1 species